rnacentral:rRNA from 1 species
AAUGGGCGCAAGCCUGAUCCAGCCAUGCCGCGUGUGUGAUGAAGGCCCUAGGGUUGUAAAACACUUUCAGUGGGGAAGAUAAUGACGGUACCCACAGAAGAAGCUCCGGCUAACUCCGUGCCAGCAGCCGCGGUAAUACGGAGGGAGCUAGCGUUGUUCGGAAUUACUGGGCGUAAAGCGCACGUAGGCGGAUUUGUUAGUCAGAGGUGAAAUCCCGGGGCUCAACCUCGGAACUGCCUUUGAUACUGCAAGUCUAGAGACCGAGAGAGGUGAGUGGAAUUUCCAGUGUAGAGGUGAAAUUCGUAGAUAUUGGAAAGAACACCAGUGGCGAAGGCGGCUCACUGGCUCGGUACUGACGCUGAGGUGCGAAAGCGUGGGGAGCUAACAGGAUU